UGAAAAGCUUUGAGUCGAUCUAUUCCCCCUGACUCUUACACUUCAUCUUCAUCGUUUCAUAUCUCUGUAAUAAUCACAACCCACUCUCACCAUUCAAUUCCUUUAUUUACUCCUUCCAUUACAGAUGUUGUUGUUCCAUCUCCUACUUUUACCUCUCUUAUAUAAUCAUCUUUCUUGAAUCGUUAGUUGGUCAAUAUCCAAAACCCUAUAGAGAAGAACAACAAGCGAUGGCCAUGAAAUCUGUUCUGAACUCCGCCAAGUCCAAGUCGCCGUGACAUCUCUCUGGGUCAGCGGAUUGUGAAUUAGGUUUCUUUAUGAUCCACUUUUGGGGGGCUAGAAACACUGCAAAAGGGGGAUUUUUAUUGGUUUUGAGAUGCUACACAUCUACGAACAGGUACAAUUGUUUAUUUUUAUAGAUUCCUCUAAUCCCCAUCUCUUUGACAACUCACAGAUUUCAGUGCAAGGCUUCGUCUCCUCUAAUCGUUCUCCACGAUACGAGGCUCGCCUCAAACCAGGAACCACAGUCUCAGGAAUUUCUCUGCUACCAAAAGAAAAGCUAUCUGUAGCGUUUCUGAUCACUCUUUGACCAUUUGUUUCAGACAGAGCUAUUUUCUCUGCGACCUUGGCCAGAUGAGCCUCUCUAUUGAUGGAGACCGGUUCAUGUAUCACUUACAUGAAGAUUUUGAAGCCAAAUGUGGACUCGGGGUUGCUCUUUAUGGUUAGCUGUUUAAAAUUUUACAUCAUCUUUAACUUAAUUGCUUAUCUGUGUACUGUUUUUUUUCUCUUUCUUCUCAAUGUGCCUUGCUCGAGCAUCAAAAACGUCACACGUUGCACAUAUAGUGCCUUCACAGACCAACCUAGCUACAAGAGUGAAGGCUAUUUGUGUACUGAUUUAUACCUUUUAAGGUCAAAAGAAAUUUACAGUCAGUGCCGAACUCCUUUCAUACUUUUAGUGACGACUGUAAACACAAAAUUACUUGGUGGUGAUUCUUAUCUAACAACCAUGUGCAAUGUUUACCCCCAAAAAAACAACAAGAACCCUUACCCUAAGCUCUAUGUCAUCGUUGCGUGUCUUCGUGCAUGAACAUAGAUGUCCAACCCACCUUAGAUUAUUUAAACUGAUAUUAUUUCAGGUUGGGUUGUAACCCGUAUACUGCUAACCUGGUCAAUGCGGAAGAUGUAACAAAGUCUGAGUCAAUGACUGUUGUGGAAAUCUUGGAUUAAAUGAAGCAGAGGUCCGCCAAGGGAGGAUUCACAGCUGUAGAUAAGCCACUGAAAACGACCUGCUGAGUGCUGACCAUGUAAAUUAAUUGGUUUUGAACUAUUGCAAGAGGCGUUUUUUAUGCAUAGCCAUGAUAGAUGAUGUUGACCGUGACUCUGCUUGGUACUAUAUUGCCAGCGGUCGUAAAACAAAGGCCAACAGAGGCCCUACUUCGUUAAUGUGCCCAAAAUUUGGCAACGGUUGCCUCGCCGGAGUUGCCAAAAGCUGAGAGUAAUGGAAUAUGGGAUCUGAGUGUCAAGAGUUUCACCUAUGCCAGCGAUGGGCACGGAGUACAGCCAUGUGGUGAAAUGGCUAAGCUGUCUGCAUUUUAUUAUUAGAAAUAGAUGAAGAGACGGAUGAGAAGAGUGGACAGCAGAGAUGCAUGAGACUCCAAAGGUCCCAUUAAUACAUUCAAAAACUAAACGUACAUAACGUAUUUGUCUUUCUUUAUUGUUCUUUUUUCUUUACUCUAUGUGUUUUUGCUGUUCUUGCGAUUAGGGUUCUUGGUCUACUGUAAAUGUAUUAAUGGAGUGAUGGAAUCUUGCAGUGACUAAUACAACAAUAAGAUAGUAGUCAUCAGCAGUUCAUCUCUAA